UCGAACUCACGGACCGCGAGAUCGUGACCUGAGCCGAAGUCGGACGCUUGACCGACUGAGCCACCCGGGCGCCCCGUGUGGGUUUGAUUUCUAAAACCAGAAGUUCCUGCAGCUGAAGUCCAGAGAGGCCAAGUGACCGGCCCAACAUCAAAUAGCUAGGAGGCAGCCCCAGAGUGGGCCGUGAAGAGCAAGGUCCGUUGUCUCUGUCGCCACUGCACAUCCAGAUCCUGGAAGUACUAAGUGCUUAGUACUAAUAGUACUAAGCACAUAGCACGAAUUCAGGAAAUGUUUGUUGAAAGAGGGUGACAGAACCGAGGUUUGAAUCCAGGUCUGGUUCUCAUCGUUGUGCUCCUUCUACCACGUGCCUUAUACGCUCGCCACAACUUCUACCGCGAGGAUGAGCACAUUGUGUUUUUGACCACGUUUGAUCUACAAAAAAAA